GAUGAACGCUGGCGGCGUGCUUAACACAUGCAAGUCGAACGAGAAAUGUAGACGGAAACCUUCGGGCGGAAGCCUUCAUUUCGAGUGGCGGACGGGUGAGUAACGCGUGGGUAACCUGCCUCAUACAGGGGGAUAACAGUUGGAAACGACUGUUAAUACCGCAUAAGACCACAGCAUCGCAUGAUGCGGGGGUAAAAACUCCGGUGGUAUGAGAUGGACCCGCGUUCGAUUAGCCAGUUGGCGGGGUAACGGCCCACCAAAGCGACGAUCGAUAGCCGAUCUGAGAGGAUGACCGGCCACAUUGGGACUGGGACACGGCCCAAACUCCUACGGGAGGCAGCAGUGGGGAAUAUUGCACAAUGGGGGAAACCCUGAUGCAGCGACGCCGCGUGAGUGAAGAAGUACUUCGGUAUGUAAAGCUCUAUCAGCAGGGAAGAAAAUGACGGUACCUGAGUAAGAAGCCCCGGCUAACUACGUG
rnacentral:rRNA from 1 species